AAAUCACUACUGCCCUUUUGUAAAAGAUUCUGAAGAACUCUAGUUCUGCAUUCACAUGGCUCAACAGCUAAUCAAACUUACUUCUCAGACCUACGGUUUCCACAUUCUUUCCCUACACACCUCCUACAUUGUGUCCCAUGGCUUAUAUUUGUAUCCUUUCUCUGAAGAGAACCUACCAUAUCUGGGCUAUUCCCUUCAAAGCCCGGUAAUGUGUUUCUAAGCUGAAGUUCCAAUAAUGCAUCACUAUACUUUGUUACAAGCCUCCUUGAUCCCACUGUUUAUUAAACCAAAGAAAUAUAUGCUAAGGAUCUGUGUGCCAGAUCCUAUAUGCUAAGAAAUACAUGCUAAGGAUCUACUUAUAUAUAGCACACAUGUAAGGAAUAUAUGCUAUGGAUCUGUGUGCCAGUUCCUAUGCUAGGUGAUGCAAAUGGCAUUGCCCUAAUAAUCAGCUGCAAUAUAGUUGAAAGAUAGAAUUUCAAAUAAUAUUGUCUAUGGUAAAAUAUAGCUAAAUUACAAGUAAAUAUGAAAUAAAAAGGAAAUUAUUAAAUCAAUUUGAAGAAUGAAAAGACAAUUUCACAUAUGAAAGAUAAUUUAGAAAAAAUACAAUUUCAGGAAAGUGGCAUAAGAAUGAGAUCAAAAAGAAAGUUGGGCUGCAAAAAGUUCUUUUGCACACCUCUACUCUUCUUUCUGAAUCGUUUCCAUUAUUUGAGUUCUUUUACUCCACUGUCUUCUGAAUCUCACCAAAUGGUAUAUUUCUGUGUUUUGUAUCCUAAGACCGUAAAAUACCACCACAAUUUAUUAAGCUUUGGAUUGGUGACGAGUGCAAACAGCCUCAUGAAAAGCUGGCUUAGCAUUUCUCAUGAGGUUGUAGUCAAGAUGUCAGCCAGGACUGCAGAAUCAUCUGAAAGCUAGGUUUUCGAUGAAGGAUCCACUUCUAAGCAUAUUCACAAGGCUAUUUACAGGAAGCUUCAGUUAGUUCCUCACCACAUGGCUUUCUUUGUUGGAUCACUUCAAACACAGCAGCUGGCUACCCUUGUAUUAGUGUAGAAAGAGAAUGAGACGGGAGGGGAGAGAGAGAGAAGGGGCAUAAGGAAAGAGGAGAAGAAAGGGUCAUGAAGGGAAGGGAAUACUAUUGAUCUUUUUCAAGUUUUUAAAAUUCAUUCUGUGUCAAUUUGGAUAUUCUAUAUUUUGCUGACAAUUAUCCAUGUUAUUCAAGAUUGCAAAUUAAUUUCCAUUUAAUAUAUUAGAAUAAUCUAUUUAUAAUCUUUCAAUAUUUUUAUAUCUGUUUCUUUGUUCCCCUUCAUAAUCUUAAUCCUAUGUCUUUUACUUUAUUCCUUGAUUCUGGAUAGGUGCUCUGAGGAAAGUGCACAUUAUGGGUCUUUUCAAAGAACCAGAUCUUAGAUAUGUUUAUUUUACUGUUUUAUACUUUCUAUUAUUAUUCAUUCAAUUUUAUUAAUUUAUUUUUAUGUUUACAUUUCUUGUUUUAGUCUGUGAUUUUUCUCCCUAAACUUAUUUUCAUGAAUAGCCUUUCAUCCAAUAUGUAAAAAAUGUAUCUCUCUUCCUUAAAAAUAAAGGCAUUUAAAAC
rnacentral:lncRNA from 1 species